AAUCUACAGAGAAGCCUUCGGGAUCUGGACGGCGGCGGCGCAGGGCACGGCAGUCGAUCCCAGAGAUAUCGAUAGACGCCCAACGCUUUCCCCGCCCUCAGAAGCUCUGGGGCCCCUGGGAGGUGGGCGGGGCCUCGGAAGAAGGAGGAGUUGAGGUUGGCGGGAAAUCUGCUGCGGGGGCGGCUGCUACAAAUCACCCUUCUUGGAUGCUCCGUGAUCAUUACCUGGGCCCUUGCAGUCCCGCCAGGUCCUCAGCGGCCCGGCCGAUCCACCUGAAAUGGCUCGAGACCACGCCUGCGAUUCCAGUGCCUGUGAGUUCCACUUUCGUUAUGCCUUCCCAAGCACUGAAUAGGGUACAACAUAGCUAUUGGACAAUUAUAUAUGUCGGACAAUUAUGUACGUUACAAAAUGCUUACCACAGUGGCAAUUAAUGCCUUGGAGAGAAAAAAAGUGCACCCACCCCCCUUCCGGCCCAGAAAGAUACGUGCAUUUUCUCUUCCUUAAGGAGUUCUUCACAGACUGGACUUGGGGUGUUUGAAAAAGACAGACAUGUGGAUAACCAGCUUGAUAUAAAUCCUUAAAGGAAUCAGAACUGGAGAAACAAGAAGAGACACUCCAUGAAAGCAGAAGCUGACAGACACACAGAGAGGCAGUAGUCAGACUUCAUGAGUAAGCACAAGCCGUGAAUAAACACCAGCCGUGAGCAAACAAAAACCACGAGGCAGCAAAAAGAUACACAAAGUAAUGAUGGAAGUGAUAGAAGAUGACUAAGACAGCAUCACAUUCUCAGGAGGAAGGGUCCCUGGCCAGACCUGGAGCCAGAGCCUUUAAAAAGAAGAAGAAGAAGAAGAAGAAGAAGAAGAAGAAGAAGAAGACGACGACGACGACGACUUUGCUCCUGAUAGAUUCAGCUGGAUGGGAACCAUCUUGUUCAUCUCUGAAUCACCUUGCCUAGAGCACUGUCUGGCACAGAGCUGGUGCUCAGUGAUGUUUGUUGAAUGAAGGCCUGGGCACCUAGACCGAUCCCUAUCUUUCCCAGGGGGAAAGAGUCCUGAUGUAGACCGGCAAGAAUGGAAUCCUUAAAGGCACAAAGCAGAGCAAGCAUGGCAGGAGAAGGAGCUUUGCAGGAAGCAGGGGAGGCAGUCAAGAAACUGUAAAUGAGGGAUCCCUGGGUGGCGCAGUGGUUUGGCGCCUGCCUUUGGCCGAGGGCGCGAUCCUGGAGACCCGGGAUCAAAUCCCACAUCGGGCUCCCGGUGCAUGGAGCCUGCCUCUCUCUCUGCCUGUGUCUCUGCCUCUCUCUCUCUCUCUCUCUCACUCUCUGUGACUAUCAUAAAUAAAUAAAAAAUUAAAAAAAAAAAGAAACCGUAAAUGAAAGCGAACUGGAGCUGCAUUCUGUUGAAUCUCUCUGCCUCUUUUCUUCAUUUCUCUUCAUGUUCUCUCCUAUGGCUUAUCUCAUUACUUCUGGCAAGAUGGAUCUGGGCAUCCCAAGCAGGACUGGGGUGGAGGCAUAUACGGAAGAGGAGGCCUGAGCUAUGGUUUGAACUGGGAGCUAGUUUUGUCUCUGAACUAAGGAACCCCAGCCUUCAGCUUCUAGAACUGCUGGGCAUCAGUGCUGCCCAUUCUCACACAGGUCUCAGGACACUUACCACACCAUCAACCUAGCCCAGUCCCUCUCCUCUUCUGCCCUAUUUCCUUUCCCCUUCUCCCCUCCAUCAGUCAUGGCAAAUGGGGUUUGAGAGGGGAUAGGGAAGAGGGGAUGGGAAGCCAGGCCAGGAAGAGAUGGAUAUAUUUGACUGGGAGCCUAAGAAGGGAAGGAAGGACACUUAGUGCACCAAUAAAUAUAGGAUAGGAGUUAAGGCUGAAGAAAUGUUGUUAGAUUUCUGAACCAUGUUUGCUAUUUUAGUAUCAGAAAUGAUUGUCAGUUAAAAUCUCUGCCCUGGUAUUGGGAAAGCUACAGAAAGCUGGAGCUUCCCAAUAUGCAGCUAAUUCUGGAGAAGUAGUGUGGUACUUGAGGCCAUGGGAAGUAGUGUGGUACUUGAGGCCAUGGGAAAAAGUGCAUGCACUUUGGAGUAAGAUUGAGCUGGGUUACCACUUGCUAGCUCUCUAGUUUGGGGCAGUUUCCUUAAUCACUCUGGAUUUUACUUCUUUUUUUCUGUAAGAUGAAGAUAAUAGUAUGCACACACACAAAAAACCAAUAGUAUGCACUUUAUAGGAUCAUAAUGACUAAAGGAAAUGAGGUUUAUCAAGUUUUGUGAAAUGUGCUUAGGAAACUCAAAUGAUACCAAUUGUUAUCAUUAGUAAUAUGAUCAUCUUGUGCUCUUUACUUACACAAAGUGAGGUAUUUUCUUUUCUUCUCAGCUCUGGGAUGGAAGCAAAAUAGACUGAGUUUCUGAGAAUUCUUAAGAGGAAGACAGGCACUCAGACAGCCUGUCUGAGAAGCAAUUCUGAUAGUUUAAGGGUCAGGAAGCCUGUAGAAUUCCACAGCAGUGACUAUAAUGGGGGCUCUGGAGACCGUUAGUUCUCAAGAUGAGAGGGUGAUUAACUAGGAAAAGCGUAAAAGUUUUACUUUGGGAAAGUUUGCCCACAUUGCAUGCUGCCCUCUCUCUACAGGUCUGGAUUGUAAGGAGUGGCCAAAUCCAAUUUAACCAACAAACAAGCCAGUAAGCCAGAGAGCUGGCUAUUAAGCUACUGUAAGCCCUGGCACAUUUGGCUUUACCUCCCCAGUUUCUGUAACAUUUCCCAUAGUUUCCCGUGGCUGGGCUCACUGAUGCAAAAUCCCCCCAGGCCCCCAGUUUUUGCCUGUCAUCUGUGGAAUUAGUUCUUUAUGCUGAAUUAGUUCUCUAUGCUGCUGUUACAAAUGAUUACAACCUUGGUGGCUUAAACAACACAGAUUUAUGAUCUUAUCAUUCUAGAUAUCAAAAGAGCAAAAUUGGCCUCAUUGGGCUAAAAUCAAGUUGUCAGUAGGGCUAUGUUCCUUUCUAGAGGCCCUGGAGGGGAUAAUCUGUUUCCUUACUUUUCCAGUGUCUAGAGGCCACCUGCGUUUCUUGGCUCAUGGCCCCUUGCAUCGUCAAAAGUCAGCAACGGCAGAGUGAGUCCUCACACCGAGUCAUUCCAACCUCUACUUCUGUCAUCAUAUUUCCUUUUGAAUUUCUGCUUCCCUCUUCCAUAUGAGGCAGCCCGGGUGGCUCAGCGGUUUAGCGCCGCUUUCAGCCCAGGGCCUGAUCCUGGAGACCCAGGAUUGAGUCCCA